rnacentral:lncRNA from 1 species
CUGUCUUCUUUGUUACAAACUCCAUCAGGAUGAAUCUUUACAUGACAUGAUGAAGCUCCCUUAUUACCGCGUUGAACGGGGACUAUAUAUAUAAUUAUUUUGAGCUAAAGGUAGACAAUAAGAAUGUCUACGAAUGCCAACUUAGUUGGAAGGUCUGUUCAUUCCUUGAUAUCUAGAUGCUAUUAGUUUAUCUAAAAUAAAUUGCUAAUAUAAUUCAUUUUGUAACAAUUGAUAAUAGAUAAUUUUACCGGUAUAUCGCACAAAGUAUCAUACUAGUGUAUUUUUCUAUGACAGACAGUACCAUAUUAGGGUAUGUUUGUUUCAAAUUUUUUAUCAAAAAAAUAUAUUUUUCCUAAAAAAAAAUCUAUUUUUUUAUCUUACUUGUGUUUGUUUCAUAUUUUUUUCAAAAAUCAUUUUCAGUAAAAAAAAUCAUUUUUUGUCAAAAUCCAUUUUUUAUCACUCAUCAUCCCUCACCAUCUUAAAAAAAUAAAAAAGAUUUUUAUGAUUGUAAACAAACGAUAAAUAGCUUUAGAUUUUCUUCAAGAAAAUCUAUUUUCUUGAAAAUGAUUUUUUUCAAAAAAAAUCAUUUUUUUAAAAUCUCAAACAAACAGGCUCUUAAUUCUUUUCCUCAACGAUCUCUUGGAGCUUCUUGCAGAAUCUGAAUCUGUUUUGAAUCCACCAAGCCAAUUAGCCCAUUUUUCAUCCAAAACAGAAU